UUAAGCAUAUCAGUAAGCAGAGGAAAAGAAAACAACUGUGAUUCCCUUAGUAACUGCGAGUGAAGCGGGAUAAGCCCAUCGUUUAAUCCUCCCGGACUGUGGACGGGAUGAAAUGUAACGGUAUGGAUAGGUUCUCUACCAACAAAGUCUAAUCAAAGUCCUCCGGAUUGAGGUGCCAGAGAGGGUGACAGCCCCGUGUGUGAUUGGACUGAGUUGGGUAUGUGACCGAUUCCGAGAGUCGGGUUGUUUGGGACUGCAACCUAAAGUAGGUGGUAAACUCCACCCAAGGCUAAAUAUUGACACGAAACCGAUAGCGAACAAGUACUGUGAAGGAAAGUUGAAAAGAACUCUGAAAAGAGAGUUAAAAGUACGUGAAACCGCUAACGGGGAAGCGGAAGGCAGUGUCGAGAUUGAGUAAGUGAGUCGUUUGAUGCGUAUGUAAGAGUCGUAGUGCGGUUAAAAAGUGCGCGUGAAACGGUUUGCUUGCUCGAUGCGUCAGGACUAUUGGGGCUUGAAGGUCAAUUGUUGGCUCGGCUUGCACGACACCUAGACUCGUCUGGGCUCGUGUUUGCGACCGGCAAUCCCCUUUGAGCUCUGAUAUGUGUGUGAUGAGGCGUUGGUGAUGUAUGGUCGGUUGGUGCAGUGCGAUGCUUCGUUCUGGUCACAUUGUGGCUACGUGCGGAGAAGUCGUGUUGUAGUUCAACAACCAAUGCCAGUUUCUGACGUGAUACCCAACUUUC
rnacentral:rRNA from 1 species